GCCUGGGUGGCUCAGUCGGUUGGGCAUCUGACUUCAGCUCAGGUCAUGAUCUCAUGGUUUGUGAGUUCAAGCCCCGUGCCAGGCU
rnacentral:tRNA from 1 species